AGAGUUUGAUCCUGGCUCAGGAUGAACGCUGGCGGCGUGCUUAACACAUGCAAGUCGAACGGGAUCCAUCAAGCUUGCUUGGUGGUGAGAGUGGCGAACGGGUGAGUAAUGCGUGACCGACCUGCCCCAUGCUCCGGAAUAGCUCCUGGAAACGGGUGGUAAUGCCGGAUGUUCCACAUGAUCGCAUGUGAUUGUGGGAAAGAUUCUAUCGGCGUGGGAUGGGUCGCGUCCUAUCAGCUUGUUGGUGAGGUAACGGCUCACCAAGGCUUCGACGGGUAGCCGGCCUGAGAGGGCGACCGGCCACAUUGGGACUGAGAUACGGCCCAGACUCCUACGGGAGGCAGCAGUGGGGAAUAUUGCACAAUGGGCGCAAGCCUGAUGCAGCGACGCCGCGUGAGGGAUGGAGGCCUUCGGGUUGUAAACCUCUUUUGUUUGGGAGCAAGCCUUCGGGUGAGUGUACCUUUCGAAUAAGCGCCGGCUAACUACGUGCCAGCAGCCGCGGU
rnacentral:rRNA from 1 species